UAUAAGCGCCUCAGUCUCCCACCACCACGUCGUACGCCGCUUACCGGAGGUCUCUCCCUCACUUCUCCGCCACGAACACUGUCGGAGCUUACGUAACUCCGCCGCACCUCAGAGAGGACCGCCGCAACCGCAGCAUUUCUCCUCCCCUUCCCUGCCUCCACCACCGUCGCCACCGCCGCCGCUCUCACCGGAGAUCCCCACGUGCGUGCCUCGACUAUACAUACAGAAGAGCUCGGCCACUCUCUGCGACGUAAUUUCACCAUACCCACCUCACGCUCGCUGUUCCAAACCGCAUUUACCCAAUUUCGCCUCUUGGUAUUCACCCGGAACCACCGUUCGACGUCAACCAUUGAUCGUGGCAAUCCAGAAAAUUAGAAUACAGCGAAGAAGAUGGAGAUUGGACUAGUCGGGCUUCUGAGAAUGGCAUGGAUUGCUGGGAUUUUGCCUUUGUUGGUCGCCUCAUUGCCUUUUCCUAGACUCAGUCGACUUCACGAGGUCGUGAUGGGGUUCGCCAAGAGGGGCAAGAUCAUGCAGUCCUCUUUGUAUAAAUUCACUGUCCCUCAAAGGUUCUUCACUCAUUUUUACGCGCUAGCUGUCAUAUGGACAGGGCUUCUGCUUGCUGCAACAUGGAUUUAUGCAUAUACAAUGGCACCUAUGGCCUCAGAGCCCUUUCUUUAUUCCUCUAUUGCCAGCCACUUGACAGGUGGUUCACAUCCUUUUACAUUGCAUAGAUCUCGUUCAACUCCCCUAAAGCAUAGAUACAUGGUUUGGAAGUCUGUGUUUCUGCUUCUAUUAAUGGAGAUCCAAGUUUUGAGGCGCCUUUAUGAGAAUAUAUAUGUGUUUCACUACAGCCCAUCAGCUCGGAUGCACAUAUUUGGCUAUCUAACUGGACUUUUUUUCUACACUGCUGCGCCACUGUCACUUUGCAGCAAUUUUGCCAUGGAAGUAUAUGAAUUUUCAUCCAACCAAGUGUCUGAGUUCAUUGUCAGAGGCAAAGAUCAGAUGGCCUCCAGUGAAUUUAACUUGUGGAAGUUUGUCAAUCCUCCUAUGAAGCUUGGAUGGCAUCACUGGAUUGGUGCUAUUAUUUUUUUCUGGAGUUGGAUUCAUCAGCAUCAGUGUCAUAGAAUUCUUGGCUCCCUACGUGAACGCAGAGAAGAAAGUCAUGCAUAUGUAGUGCCUCAUGGCGAUUGGUUUGAACUUGUCUCAUGUCCACACUAUUUGGCCGAGAUAGUUAUAUAUGCGGGACUAGUGGUUGCCAGUGGAGGAUCAGACUUGACAAUCUGGUUGCUGUUUGGUUUUGUGGUGGUGAAUUUGGUAUUUGCGGCAGCAGAAACACAUAGGUGGUAUCAUAGUAAAUUUGACAACUAUCCACGAGACCGGUAUGCUGUCAUCCCAUUUAUUUACUAAUGCGUGUGGCCAAUAUACCAGUUUGUACAGAAGAGGCAGCAAAUUGUUGAGAGAUAUAGGUGAUCAGAUUUAUGAUUUUUUGGAGUUCUUGCUGCGGUUUUCGGAUGAAGAUCCUCUACCCCGCAAGGUGCUUCCCUUGGUGUCUCAAUUAAUUUCAACGAUUGAUGCACGUGAAUGAGGUACAUAUCAACAGUUGAGAAGAAACCAAGGGAAGCACCUCGCAAGGUAGAGGAUCAAUGCCUGCAGUUUUCCAGUUGAAUCCCAAAAAGCUCAGACCAGUCGGAAGGAAUAAUAUUUCAGCCGUGCAUUGUAGAACUUCUAGAGGCACUCUGCUACAACGUGCAGGAGAUGUCCAAUUCUUCCUAGGUCUUUUCCUCACUUGCAGGACAACACAAUAACUCUCUUCUCGAUGAGGCAUGAAACUCAUGCAUAUAUAUACCCAGUACCCGCAGGUUGAUUUGUCUGGUAGUUCCGGUCCAAGCUUUUUAUCAAGUCCAUGUCUUGUUUUUCCAACUCAAAGCCGGAAACUCGAAAGUUCUCCUCCAACCUCUUGGGUUUUGAUGUUUUUGGGAUGACUACUGCGUUCAGUUGAAUGCUCCCCCUUAAAAAAGAUCUGAGCUACUACCGUCUUCCUUUACUUUUUUUGACAGACCCUAAAGCCAAGGAAACAGAAAAGAUCAAGUGUACUGGUCAGUCUAGUUUCAUAUGUCCAGUUUCAUUUUUGGGCCAGGCAAGUGAUAUAUAUGUGCACUCUUGCUAAGAUUUCAUUUUUAUGGUAUAAAGUGAUGUGGAUUUUCUACCUCGCAGCGCUUUCAUGGUGAUUUUCCAACAUAUCUCAGCUGUCGAGGCAUGUUUAAUUUACAUGCAUCAACGGUUGAGAAUUAAGCGAGACACCAAUGAGAGCACCAUACGAGGUAAAGAGUUUUCACACUAUUUUAAAUCUCCCGGCAUCUGUUCGUCAGUAAACUACUGGACCAAUGACCCAAUGAUAGAACACUGAUCUUAGUUACCUUCAGAAUCGAGUCAUCCGAACACAAGACUGACCCGAACUUGAUGGUGUCGGCCAUGGUGCGUUAGGGGAGCGUAUGCUGCGACGCUGAUGCCAUGCUUAUGGCACAACUUGACGAGGGAAUUGUGUUGGUGCGCGAUUCGAUUCAGUUCACAGCGAGCUUUUAUUUUGGAGUGUGCCAAACAUUUGCUUGUCUGGAGGAAGGUUGUGAUUGCUUUGCAAAA